GAUGAACGCUGGCGGCGUGCUUAACACAUGCAAGUCGAACGGAAAGGCCUCUGCUUGCAGGGGUACUCGAUUGGCGAACGGGUGAGUAACACGUGGGUGAUCUGCCCUGCACUUCGGUAUAAGCCUGGGAAACUGGGUCUAAUACCGUAUAGGACACUGGUUUGGAUGCUGUUGUGGAAAUCUUUUCGGUGUGGGAUGAGCUCGCGGCCUAUCAGCUUGUUGGUGGGGUAAUGGCGUACCAAGGCGUCGACGGGUAGCCGGCCUGAGAGGGUGUACGGACACAUUGGAACUGAGAGAGGGGCAAGAGUCGGAAGGGAGGGAGAAGGGGGGAAUAUUGGACAAAGGGAGAAAGCGUGAUGGAGGAAGGCCGCGGGGGGGAUGAGGGCCUUCGGGGGGUAAGAAACGCUCGAGAGGGAAGAAGCGUUGUUGUGACGGUACCUGGAGAAGAAGCACCGGCUAACUACGUG
rnacentral:rRNA from 1 species